AGCUGGGACACAGGGGAAAGGAUGGAGACUCUGAACGGCAAAGGGAAAUGAAAGAGGCCUGGCUGAGCAGGCCAAGGAGGGUUGGUGGUACUCGGUCUUUAGCCCCUGAGAGUGACUGUUAGCCUUUGUGGGAGGCUUUAUUGGGGUCCAGGAAGAAGGGAGGGAGCUUGGUUCUGAGGAGAGUGGGGAAGGACAGAGGGGAAGGGACAGACACAGGUAGGAAUCUGCUAAGACAUAGGAUCCCAUGAGACACAGAAGGUGUAUCUGUGUGUGCUUGGAGAGGUUCUGAGCCCCUGACUUUCCACCACAGAGUCAGCCCUGGGGGAGAGGCAGACUGGUAGGCAAGAACGCUGUUGACUUCUUCAUUUGCUUUAACUGAGAGUUGGAUGGCCCCGAGGGAGGAAAGUUGAUGCCUUUACAAUGCAUUGCUGUGCGAGGACGGCUUGGCUAAGGACGGGCUGCAGAUAUGAGAACAGUUCCCCAAAGCUACAAGAGACAGAGUCCUGGUGCCAGGAAAGGUCACCACACUGUAUGCUCAUGCUUGUGAUGCUGCUGGUGUGUGCCAGCCUCCCAGCCUGCCAACUGUACACAGGUAUAGCAGUGUAGCUGAGUAUAGGUCUGCAGUAUAGAACACUUGAUAACAGCUGGCUUUUGACUGUAUAGUCACUCUAUUUAUUUAUUUAUUUAUUUAUUUAUUUAUUUAUUUAUUUAUUUAUGUUGAUGUUUUGACAUAGUAUCUUUCAUAGCUUGGACUGGCCUCGAUACUGUAAUCAAGGAUGACUUUCGAAUCUCUUUCUGACUUUACCUCCUGUGGUGGCUAGAAUAGGGUUAGUCCCUGUAGACUCAUGGAUUUGAAUGUUUGACCCAUAGGGAGUGGCUAUGCUUCCCACCAUGAUGAUAAUGAACUGAACCUCAGAAACUAAGUCAGCCCCAAUUAAAUCUUUGCCUUUAUAAGAGUUAACCUUGGUUAUGAUGUCUCUUCCCAGCAAUAAAACUCAAACCAAGUCUGUCAUACCUGGUUUAUAUGUUGUUAGGGAUUGAAUCCAGGGGCCCUGUACAUGUUGGGUGGGCACUCUACGUACAUCUCCAGCCCUGUUUUUGUUUUUGAGAUGGAGUCCCAUACUAUAGCUCAGGCUGGCCUUGAACCCUCAAUCUUCUUCCCUUAGCCUUUAGAAUGUUGGGAUUACACAGAUAAAUCACUAUGCCAGGGUCAUAUUUUCUUUCUUUCUUGGCAUCAUAAAAAGAGGCCAUGUUUUGAGAGCAUAGUGGUGGAUGUCUGCUAUUCCAGUAGUCAGGAUGCCAAGGCCAGAGAACUGUAGCAAGUUCAAGGCCAGUUUAGGCUGCCUGGUGAGUUCAAGAUUAGUCUGGGGGGCUGGAGAAAUUGCUCAGCAGUUAAGAGGAUUUGUUGCAGAACCAAUUUGGAUUUGGUUCUAGAUUUUUUUUUUCUAGUCUUGGGGAUUGAGCCUAGGGCUUCUCACACUUAAGGCAAGUGCUCUUCUACUGAGCUAUAUCCCCAAGGCAGGACCUGUGUUCAGUUCUCAGUUAUCAUGUCAGGUGGCUAGCUGGCUCACAACCUCUUAUAACUCCAGGGGAUCAGAUGCCUUCUUUUGGUCUCUGUGGACACACACCUUAUUAGAUUAGCUGGGGCUGUAGAGUUAGGCCAUGUCUCAAAAAAUACUACUAAUAAAGAGACCAUGU
rnacentral:lncRNA from 1 species